rnacentral:rRNA from 1 species
UACUCGAGUGGCGAACGGGUGAGUAACACGUGGGUGAUCUGCCUUGCACUCUGGGAUAAGCUUGGGAAACUGGGUCUAAUACCGGAUAGGAACCGUCUUUAGUGUGGUGGUUGGAAAGUUUUUUCGGUGCAAGAUGAGCUCGCGGCCUAUCAGCUUGUUGGUGGGGUAAUGGCCUACCAAGGCGUCGACGGGUAGCCGGCCUGAGAGGGUGGACGGCCACAUUGGGACUGAGACACGGCCCAG